UCUGAAUCAAAAGGAUUUUUACUUCUGCCCUAGCUCAAACCCAGGAAGGGGAUAUUGCAAUUAUCCCAACGCGUC